GACGGAGGAUGCAAGUGUUAUCCGGAAUCACUGGGCGUAAAGCGUCUGUAGGUUGUUUAAAAAGUCUGCAGUUAAAGGUUGAAGCUUAACUUCAAAAAUGCCGUAGAAACUUUUAACUAGAGGAUGGUAGGGUAGAGGGAAUUUCCGAGUGGAGCGGUGAAAUGUGUAGAUAUUGGAAAGACCACCGAUGGCGAAGGCACUCUACUGGGCCAUGACUGACACUGAGAGACGAAAGCUAGGGGAGCAAAUGGG
rnacentral:rRNA from 1 species